rnacentral:rRNA from 1 species
CGUUAGCGGCGGACGGGUGAGUAACACGUGGAUAACCUACCUAUAAGACUGGGAUAACUUCGGGAAACCGGAGCUAAUACCGGAUAACAUGUUGAACCGCAUGGUUCAACAGUGAAAGACGGUCUUGCUGUCACUUAUAGAUGGAUCCGCGUCGCAUUAGCUAGUUGGUAAGGUAACGGCUUACCAAGGCAACGAUGCGUAGCCGACCUGAGAGGGUGAUCGGCCACACUGGAACUGGGACACGGUCCAG